UACGUAGGGUGCGAGCGUUAAUCGGAAUUACUGGGCGUAAAGCGUGCGCAGGCGGUUAUAUAAGACAGAUGUGAAAUCCCCGGGCUCAACCUGGGAACUGCAUUUGUGACUGUAUAGCUAGAGUACGGUAGAGGGGGAUGGAAUUCCGCGUGUAGCAGUGAAAUGCGUAGAUAUGCGGAGGAACACCAAUGGCGAAGGCAAUCCCCUGGGCCUGUACUGACGCUCAUGCACGAAAGCGUGGGGAGCAAACAGG
rnacentral:rRNA from 1 species